AGCCGCGGUAAUUCCAGCUCCAAUAGCGUAUAUUAAAGUUGUUGUGGUUAAAAAGCUCGUAGUUGGAUCUCAGCCUAUGUAUAAUGGUCCACUUUGUCGGUGGUUACUGUUAUACUGGGCAGUUUACCUGAUCGUCCAUUGGUGUUCUUCAUUGAAUGUCAAUGGUGGUCGGUACGUUUACUUUGAAAAAAUUAGAGUGCUCAAAGCAGGCCCUAGGCCUGAAUACUGUUGCAUGGAAUAAUGGAAUAGGACCUUGGUUCUGUUCUGUUGGUCUUCGGAAUCGAGGUAAUGAUUAAGAGGGACGGACGGGGACAUUAGUACUGCGGCGAUAGAGGUGAAAUUCUUGGACCGCCGCAUGACUAACCAAAGCGAAAGCAUUUGUCAAGAACGUUUUCAUUAAUCAAGAACGAAAGUUAGAGGUUCGAAGGCGAUCAGAUACCGCCCUAGUUCUAACCAUAAACGAUGCCAACCAGCAAUCAGCCAGAGUUUUAUUUGACUCGGCUGGCGGCUUCCGGGAAACCAAAGUUUUUCGGUUCCAGGGGAAGUAUGGUUGCAAAGCUGAAACUUAAAGGAAUUGACGGAAGGGCAC
rnacentral:rRNA from 1 species